rnacentral:tRNA from 1 species
GCCGGUGUGGCUUAGUGGAUAGAGCGUCAGUCUUCCGGACUGAAGGGUCCCAGGUUCGAUUCCAGUUAAGAGCA